rnacentral:rRNA from 1 species
AUUGAACGCUGGCGGCAGGCCUAACACAUGCAAGUCGAGCGGAUGAGUGGAGCUUGCUCCAUGAUUCAGCGGCGGACGGGUGAGUAAUGCCUAGGAAUCUGCCUGGUAGUGGGGGACAACGUUUCGAAAGGAACGCUAAUACCGCAUACGUCCUACGGGAGAACGUGGGGGAUCUUCGGACCUCACGCUAUCAGAUGAGCCUAGGUCGGAUUAGCUAGUUGGUGAGGUAAAGGCUGACCAAGGCGACGAUCCGUAACUGGUCUGAGAGGAUGAUCAGUCACACUGGAACUGAGACACGGUCCAGACUCCUACGGGAGGCAGCAGUGGGGAAUAUUGGACAAUGGGCGAAAGCCUGAUCCAGCCAUGCCGCGUGUGUGAAGAAGGUCUUCGGAUUGUAAAGCACUUUAAGUUGGGAGGAAGGGCAGUAAGUUAAUACCUUGCUGUUUUGACGUUACCAACAGAAUAAGCACCGGUUAACUUCGUGCCAGCCGCCGCAGUAA